GGGCCCGCACAAGCGGUGGAGCAUGUGGUUUAAUUCGAUGCAACGCGAAAAACCUUACCUACACUUGACAUACUUCGAAUUUUCUAGAGAUAGAUUUGUGCCUUCGGGAACACUAUGACAGGUGUUGCAUGGCUGUCGUCAGCUCGUGUCGUGAGAUGUAUGGUUAAGUCCAGUAACGAGCGCAACCCCUAUUCUUAUUUGCCAGCACUUCGGGUGGGAACUAUAAGGAGACCGCCGUGUAUAACACGGAGGAAGGCGGGGACGACGUCAAGUCAUCAUGGCCCUUACGGGUUGGGCUACACACGUGCUACAAUGGGAGAUACAGAUGGUUGCGAAAGCGCGAGCUG
rnacentral:rRNA from 1 species